ensembl:lncRNA
AGAGCGUUCCUGCCUAUAUGACAGUUCAUCCGAAAUGAAUUCGAUCGUCUGAUACAAAACGUGCCAAACUUGAGCCUCGUCAGACUUUGACGGGUUCUUACAGGAGCUGUUGCUUGGCAAUACCAGCAGCAGCAUCAGUGUCCCUAGAGAGCGCGCGAGAAUAGAAGCACGGGAUGCGCGCACGCCCAACACAGUGAACACACACAAGCGCCGCGCGACCGUUCACAUCUCACCAAACACCGCUGCCAGUCGCUUUAAAGUUACACUCCGACCGCAGAUAGGCAUUUUUAUCGCGGGCUACGUUUGAUUUACGUGUUAUGCUUCAGUUUCUAACUCGAUACUUAAAUUUCAGCCGUUGAAUCCCGCCAGACCAAACGAAGUGGAGCGCCUACAGCGUCACAUUUGAGCCUUAUGAAGAUUGUUGAGGUCUCACCGUCAGGGCCGUGCGUCACAGGCUGUGAUGUGGCUAGAGUGUAGGGUGCUGGAGACUGGCUGUGGAGGCAGAAGGAGGUCCCUCCGAUUGACGGUGAUGAGACUCCCCUGCUCCUUUUGGUUUCUGCUGCUGUUAGGCGCUGGAGGUCUUCUUCUACUGCACCUACAGGACCUCACAGAGACACUCCAGCAACAAAACCAAGGUGCAAAGGUCAUAUUCUCCCAAGUACAGGCCAUAAGAAAGGUAAGCCUAUUUAUGUGAACGAAAACCGGGUUUUACACAAGUGCCUGCUUCACGUCAGGUGCUACGGCCGCUGGAAUUAUUGUGCACUGGCACCACUUGGUGGCUGCCAUUGGAGAGACAAGACUUUGAAACCCCAACCUUCCCUUCUAUUUAUAGAGCCCCUAAAAUAUUCAUUUCCUGUGUUGACUUUUUUUUUUGAACAUGGCCUGUACUUUACAUCUUUUAGCACUGUGGACUUUUAGAAACUAAACUCUUCAAAUAAACUUUUCACAAAGUUUUUUAAUUAACA